AUAAUACAUCAAAUAAUGUUGCAGUAGAAAGAAUGUUGGAGGCAAAUUUUCCCCAUCUACACUGAACUCCUUGUGCAAGCCAUUAUAUAGAUUUGAUGUUAGAAUAUAUUUUUAAGAAUCGGGUUUUCAAAUAAACAUUCUGCAAAACUAUUGAGCUUACUAAUUUCAUAUAUGACUCCUCAGGAGUUCUAAAUAUAUUGUG
rnacentral:misc_RNA from 1 species